AGCAGCCGCGGUAAUUCCAGCUCCAAUAGCGUAUAUUAAAGUUGCUGCAGUUAAAAAGCUCGUAGUUGAAUUUCGGGACUAAUAUGUCGGUCGUGCCUCGGUACGUACUGGUUUAUUGGUUUCUCCUUUCUGAAGAACCAUGAUGUCAUUUAUUUGGUGUCGUGAGGAAUCAGGACUGUUACUUUGAAAAAAUUAGAGUGUUUAAAGCAGGCUCACGCUUGAAUACAUUAGCAUGGAAUAAUGAAAUAGGACGUUUGAUUCUAUUUUGUUGGUUUCUAGGAUCGACGUAAUGAUUAAUAGGGAUAGUUGGGGGCAUUAGUAUUCAAUUGUCAGAGGUGAAAUUCUUGGAUUUAUUGAAGACUAACUACUGCGAAAGCAUUUGCCAAGGAUGUUUUCAUUAAUCAAGAACGAAAGUUAGGGGAUCGAAGACGAUCAGAUACCGUCGUAGUCUUAACCAUAAACUAUGCCGACUAGGGAUCGGAUGAUGUUAAUUUUUUAAUGACUCA
rnacentral:rRNA from 1 species